rnacentral:siRNA from 1 species
ACCCUUAAGAGUUAUCAAGUGUCU